AGCGAACGCUGGCGGCAGGCUUAACACAUGCAAGUCGAGCGGGCAUCCUUGUGGUGUCAGCGGCAGACGGGUGAGUAACGCGUGGGAACGUGCCCUUCGGUUCGGAAUAACUCAGGGAAACUUGAGCUAAUACCGGAUACGUGCGAGAGCAGAAAGGUUUAUCUGCCGAAGGAUCGGCCCGCGUCUGAUUAGCUAGUUGGUGAGGUUAUGGCUCACCAAGGCGACGAUCAGUAGCUGGUCUGAGAGGAUGAUCAGCCACACUGGGACUGAGACACGGCCCAGACUCCUACGGGAGGCAGCAGUGGGGAAUAUUGGACAAUGGGGGCAACCCUGAUCCAGCCAUGCCGCGUGAGUGAUGACGGCCUUGGGGUUGUAAAGCUCUUUUCUUCGGGACGAUAAUGACGGUACCGGAGGAAUAAGCCCCGGCUAACUUCGUG
rnacentral:rRNA from 1 species